UACGUAGGGUGCGAGCGUUGUCCGGAAUUAUUGGGCGUAAAGAGCUCGUAGGCGGUGUGUCGCGUCGGCCGUGAAAACCUGGGGCUCAACUCUGGGCGUGCGGUCGAUACGGGCAUCACUGGAGUUCGGCAGGGGAGACUGGAAUUCCUGGUGUAGCGGUGAAAUGCGCAGAUAUCAGGAGGAACACCGGUGGCGAAGGCGGGUCUCUGGGAAUAUCCUGACGCUGAGGAGCGAAAGUGUGGGGAGCGAACAGG
rnacentral:rRNA from 1 species